UACAGAGGUCCCGAGCGUUUGUUCGGAUUCAUUGGGCGUAAAGGGUGCGUAGGCGGCGGGGAAAGUCUGAUGUGAAAUCCUAGGGGCUCGAACCCUGGAACUGCAUUGGAUACUUCCUUGCUAGAGUACUGGAGAGGAAACUGGAAUUUACGGUGUAGCAGUGAAAUGCGUAGAGAUCGUAAGGAAGACCAGUGGCGAAGGCGAGUUUCUGGACAGUUACUGACGCUGAGGCACGAAGGCCAGGGGAGCAAACGGG
rnacentral:rRNA from 1 species